rnacentral:rRNA from 1 species
AUACGGAGGGGGCAAGCGUUGUUCGGAAUUACUGGGCGUAAAGGGCGCGUAGGCGGAUUGUCAAGUCAGAGGUGAAAGCCCUGGGCUCAGCCUGGGAACUGCCUUUGAAACUGAUAGUCUAGAGUCCGAGAGAGGAUGGCGGAAUUCCCAGUGUAGAGGUGAAAUUCGUAGAUAUUGGGAAGAACACCAGUGGCGAAGGCGGCCAUCUGGCUCGGUACUGACGCUGAGGCGCGAAAGCGUGGGGAGCAAACAGGAUUAGAAACCCCGGUAGUCC